rnacentral:rRNA from 1 species
AUUGAACGCUGGCGGCAGGCCUAACACAUGCAAGUCGAGCGAGCGGCGGACGGGUGAGGAAUGUAUGGGGACUGCCCGAUAGAGGGGGAUAACUACUGGAAACGGUAGCUAAUACCGCAAACUAUCGGAUAACCGAUAUGGGAUUAGCUCGUAGGUGAGGUAAUGGCGACCCUCGGCGACGAUCCCUAGCUGGUCUGAGAGGAUGAGCAGCCACCCUGGGACUGAGACACGGCCCAGACUCCUACGGAGGCAGCAGUGGGGAAUUUUGCACAAUGGGCGCAAGCCUGAUGCAGCCAUGCCGCGUGUAUGAAGAAGGCCCUAGGGUUGUAAAGUACUUUCAGUCGGGAGGCGUUACCGACAGAAGAAGCACCGGCUAACUCCGUGCCAGCAGCCGCGGUAAUUC